CCAGCCACACUGGAACUGAGACACGGUCCAGACUCCUACGGGAGGCAGCAGUGGGGAAUAUUGCACAAUGGGCGCAAGCCUGAUGCAGCCAUGCCGCGUGUAUGAAGAAGGCCUUCGGGUUGUAAAGUACUUUCAGCGGGGAGGAAGGGAGUAAAGUUAAUACCUUUGCUCAUUGACGUUACCCGCAGAAGAAGCACCGGCUAACUCCGUGCCAGCAGCCGCGGUAAUACGGAGGGUGCAAGCGUUAAUCGGAAUUACUGGGCGUAAAGCGCACGCAGGCGGUUUGUUAAGUCAGAUGUGAAAUCCCCGGGCUCAACCUGGGAACUGCAUCUGAUACUGGCAAGCUUGAGUCUCGUAGAGGGGGGUAGAAUUCCAGGUGUAGCGGUGAAAUGCGUAGAGAUCUGGAGGAAUACCGGUGGCGAAGGCGGCCC
rnacentral:rRNA from 1 species